GCCCAGGAGCUAGUAACCUAUACUGAUUGUUUUCGUAAGGUACAUUUUCUGCCUUAAGGCAAACAACAGAAUCUAGAGAAUAGGCUAACCUUCCUGUGUUCCCUGAGCCCAGUCAUGAAGGGCCCUCAUUCCUGGGCCUCAGGCCAAGAAAGGAAUACUACAAAAGGGCUAGGGUCCCAGACCACACAGAAGCUCCAUGAGACCUCUCCUCAUCUGUGCAUGGUCGAGUGACCAACUCUGGAUCCCAGGCUAUUGCUUCCCGAUCUGGUGAUGAAUCCUCCAUAGUCUAAUGGGGUCUCGCUCUGUCCUGGAGUGCAAUGGCACGAUCUUGGCUCACUGCAACCUCCGCCUCCCAGGUUCAAGCAAUUCUCCUGCCUCAGCCUCCCGAGUAGCUGGGACUACAGGCACACGCCAACACGCCAGGCUAAUUUUUUGUAUUUUUAAUAGAGAUGGAGUUUCACCAUGUUCCCCAGGCUGGUCUUGAACUCCUGAGCUCAGGCAAUCCACCUUCCUCUGCCUCCCAAAGUGCUAGGAUUACAGGCAUGAGCCACCGCGCCCGGUCUAUUCAUUUUCUUAACAGGGUAUUUUGCUAAGAAGUUUUACAUUUUGGUGAAGUCUAGUUUUUCCAUUUUUUUAUUAUGGUUAUUAUUUCUUAUGACUUCAGAUUUCCUUCCCUUCACUUAAUUAAUGGAGGUAUUGUAGUAUGAUUUCUUUUACCUUGUAUUUUGAAAUUUUACCUUUUACUCUGUGGUCCAUCUUGAAUUAUCUUUUAUGUAUGAUGUGAGGAUGUGAGAUUACUUUUCUUCAUAUGAAAAUGCAAUUUUUCCACCUUCCAUUCUUGAAGAAAUUAACUUUCCCCAUUUGACUGUUUUGGUGUAUUGGACAGUAAGUUUAAAAAUAUGUUUUAAAAAGUAUUUGCCAUGUUUAAAAAAUUUUUAGAAAGAAAGGCCACAUUCUUGUCUUUUUCCUUAUCUUGGAGGAAAAGGCUUCAACUUUUCACAUUGAGUAUGAUGUUAGCUGUUGGAUUGUCAUACAUGGAUUUUCUUGUUGGUGAACUUUUCUUCUAUACCUAAUUUGUAAUUGAUAAUAAUAAUAUAUUGUUUAUAUCAAAACGGCUAAAAAAAGGAUUUUAGAUGCUCUCACCACAAAGAAAUGAUAGUAUUUGGGUGUGAUAAAUAUGUUAAUUGACCAUAUUUGAUUAUUCCACAAUGUACAUGUAACAAAACACCACAUUGUACCCCAUAAAUAUAUAAAAUUAUUAUUUGCAAUUAGAAAUAAAAUAUAACUUAAAAAAGAAAAUCCACAACUCCUUUCUAUAAUUUAUGAAUGUGUGUCAAAAGUCUUAAAUUUGAUUUUAAAUAUCUUGCUGUAACUGAUCUUUACUGUCUAUUCACAGGUCACUAGACAUCCU
rnacentral:lncRNA from 1 species